CUUCCCAAUUCUCAUUUCCCAAACCUAAAUAAAAAAUUAGAUUUAGGGUUUUUUGGUUCUUCCUUCUUCUGCGAGCCUGCAACUUAUCGUUGUGUUAAUCAAAAAACAUCAUGCCAAAUACCAAAGCAUCUUAUCAUCUAGGAAACGUUUAUAUAUGGCAACGAGCGGAAGAGAAACUUACAUUGUUGAAAGAGAUACUAGCAUUGUUGAUUCAUAGUUUGAACAAAUGGUUCAACUAUGCCUCGUGGUUCUAAAGCUAGAUCAUCUAUUUGGGAACAUUUUGAGCUAGUUAAAGUAAAUGAAGAAGCCCGCAAAGCAAAGUAUCUUCAUUGUGGUAGAGUUUAUAAUUGUCAUCCAAAGUAUUAUGGCACUUAUGGCUUAGUGAAGCAUAUUAAGAAGUGUCUCAUGCCUCAUCCAGUGAUUCGUAUUUAAGACUUUAAGUAUCAUUUUCUAGACUUACUUUGUGGCUUGUGGGUUAGUGACUAGUUUGCCACUGUUUUGUUGUUUGGUGAUGGUAUUUCUAGACUUAUUUUGGACUUUGGUAGCUGCUAGAUUUGCCACUGUGUUAAACUGUUUUGGACUAGUUUGCCACUGCUGAACUGUGCGGUAUUUUGCUACUUAGGUAUUGUGUUUGCACCGAAGGC